rnacentral:rRNA from 1 species
CUUUUACAAUGAAGAGUUUGAUCCUGGCUCAGGAUGAACGCUAGCUACAGGCUUAACACAUGCAAGUCGAGGGGCAGCAUUUUAGUUUGCUUGCAAACUGAAGAUGGCGACCGGCGCACGGGUGAGUAACACGUAUCCAACCUGCCGAUAACUCCGGAAUAGCCUUUCGAAAGAAAGAUUAAUACCGGAUAGCAUACGAAUAUCGCAUGAUAUUUUUAUUAAAGAAUUUCGGUUAUCGAUGGGGAUGCGUUCCAUUAGUUUGUUGGCGGGGUAACGGCCCACCAAGACUACGAUGGAUAGGGGUUCUGAGAGGAAGGUCCCCCACAUUGGAACUGAGACACGGUCCAAACUCCUACGGGAGGCAGCAGUGAGGAAUAUUGGUCAAUGGGCGAGAGCCUGAACCAGCCAAGUAGCGUGAAGGAUGAAGGCUCUAUGGGUCGUAAACUUCUUUUAUAUGGGAAUAAAGUUUUCCACGUGUGGAAUUUUGUAUGUACCAUAUGAAUAAGGAUCGGCUAACUCCGUGCCAGCAGCCGCGGUAAUACGGAGGAUCCGAGCGUUAUCCGGAUUUAUUGGGUUUAAAGGGAGCGUAGGUGGAUUGUUAAGUCAGUUGUGAAAGUUUGCGGCUCAACCGUAAAAUUGCAGUUGAAACUGGCAGUCUUGAGUACAGUAGAGGUGGGCGGAAUUCGUGGUGUAGCGGUGAAAUGCUUAGAUAUCACGAAGAACUCCGAUUGCGAAGGCAGCUCACUAGACUGUCACUGACACUGAUGCUCGAAAGUGUGGGUAUCAAACAGGAUUAGAUACCCUGGUAGUCCACACAGUAAACGAUGAAUACUCGCUGUUUGCGAUAUACAGUAAGCGGCCAAGCGAAAGCAUUAAGUAUUCCACCUGGGGAGUACGCCGGCAACGGUGAAACUCAAAGGAAUUGACGGGGGCCCGCACAAGCGGAGGAACAUGUGGUUUAAUUCGAUGAUACGCGAGGAACCUUACCCGGGCUUAAAUUGCAACAGAAUAUAUUGGAAACAGUAUAGCCGUAAGGCUGUUGUGAAGGUGCUGCAUGGUUGUCGUCAGCUCGUGCCGUGAGGUGUCGGCUUAAGUGCCAUAACGAGCGCAACCCUUAUCUUUAGUUACUAACAGGUCAUGCUGAGGACUCUAGAGAGACUGCCGUCGUAAGAUGUGAGGAAGGUGGGGAUGACGUCAAAUCAGCACGGCCCUUACGUCCGGGGCUACACACGUGUUACAAUGGGGGGUACAGAAGGCGGCUACCUGGUGACAGGAUGCUAAUCCCAAAAACCUCUCUCAGUUCGGAUCGAAGUCUGCAACCCGACUUCGUGAAGCUGGAUUCGCUAGUAAUCGCGCAUCAGCCAUGGCGCGGUGAAUACGUUCCCGGGCCUUGUACACACCGCCCGUCAAGCCAUGAAAGCCGGGGGUACCUGAAGUACGUAACCGCAAGGAGCGUCCUAGGGUAAAACUGGUAAUUGGGGCUAAGUCGUAACAAGGUAGCCGUACCGGAAGGUGCGGCUGGAACACCUCCUUUCU